rnacentral:rRNA from 1 species
CGGCGGACGGGUGAGUAACGCGUGGGUAACCUGCCUCAUACAGGGGGAUAACAGUUGGAAACGGCUGCUAAUACCGCAUAAGCGCACAGUACCGCAUGGUACCGUGUGAAAAACUCCGGUGGUAUGAGAUGGACCCGCGUCUGAUUAGCUAGUUGGUGGGGUAACGGCCUACCAAGGCGACGACCAGUAGCCGACCUGAGAGGGUGACCGGCCACAUUGGGACUGAGACACGGCCCAA